UCCUCAGACCCUAUUUCUCCCGUUCCCCUUCUCCUUUCCCGUUUCACCCACAACCACCACAACUCAGUAGGCAGCAGCACCUCCACCACCCACAACAACCGCAACACACAAACCACCAUAAUCAGACCAUAUCAAACCCACAACCCAAAAGCAAAAAACGAUUCUGAAGAUCUGCGAUUGCCUAAAGUUAAAGUCACUGCUGAACUUCUUUCCUAUAACUUAUAGAAAUUCGAGAUCUGGGGGAGUCCGAUUCUAGAUGAACGCUGCGAAUCAUCUGGCCGUUAGGGAGACGAUAUGGUUGAAUGAUGAGAAAAAGCAGAGCAUGAUUGAAGACAUCUACAACACCAAGAAGCAGAAAAGGCAGAGAAAUAAUUGAAAGGGUUUUUUGGUAUUGGUAUUGGAAGAGGAAUUUGGGUUAGGGGAGAGAGUUGGAGAGAGAUCUAUGGGAGACCCUUCACUACUGUCAAACCAGUCCCCUUUAAUACUGAUGAAGAGAUUACUGUAUUAAUUGUUAAUCUGACACAACUGGAUGAAGCAUGGAGUCGAAUAUUAUGUA